rnacentral:rRNA from 1 species
AUUGAACGCUGGCGGCAUGCUUUACACAUGCAAGUCGAACGGCAGCGGGGACUUUGGUCCGCCGGCGAGUGGCGGACGGGUGAGUAAUGCAUCGGAACGUGCCUAUCAGUGGGGGAUAACGCUUCGAAAGGAGUGCUAAUACCGCAUAUUUUUUGAGGAGAAAAGCAGGGGACCUUUGGGCCUUGCGCUGAUAGAGCGGCCGAUGUUGGAUUAGCUAGUUGGUGGGGUAAAGGCUCACCAAGGCGACGAUCCGUAGCGGGUUUGAGAGGAUGAUCCGCCCCCCUGGGACUGAGACCCGGCCCCGACUCCUUCGGGAGGCAGCAGUGGGGAAUUUUGGACAAUGGGCGGAAGCCUGAUCCAGCCCUGCCGCGUGAGUGAAGAAGGCCUUCGGGUUGUAAAGCUCUUUUGUCCGGGAGGAAAUCCUGGCCUUUAAUACCGGUCGGGGAUGACCGU